AUUGAACGCUGGCGGAAUGCUUUACACAUGCAAGUCGAACGGCAGCACGGGUGCUUGCACCUGGUGGCGAGUGGCGAACGGGUGAGUAAUAUAUCGGAACGUAUCCAAUAAUGGGGGAUAACUAGCCGAAAGGUUAGCUAAUACCGCAUACGCCCUGAGGGGGAAAGCUGGGGAUCGUAAGACCUAGCGUUGAUGGAGCGGCCGAUAUCUGAUUAGCUAGUUGGUGGGGUAAAGGCCUACCAAGGCGACGAUCAGUAGCUGGUCUGAGAGGACGACCAGCAAAACUGGAACUGAGACACGGCCCAGACUCCUACGGGAGGCAGCAGUGGGGAAUUUUGGACAAUGGGCGCAAGCCUGAUCCAGCAAUGCCGCGUGCAGGAAGAAGGCCUUCGGGUUGUAAACUGCUUUUGUCAGGGAAGAAAUCUUCUGGGUUAAUACCUCGGGAGGAUGACGGUACCUGAAGAAUAAGCACCGGCUAACUACGUGCCAGCAGCCGCCGCCGUAA
rnacentral:rRNA from 1 species